UUCCGGUUGAUCCUGCCGGAGGUCACUGCUAUUGGGAUUCGACUAAGCCAUGCGAGUCGAGAGGGUUCGGCCCUCGGCUGACGGCUCAGUAACACGUGGAUAAUCUGCCCUUAGGUGGAGGAUAAUCUCGGGGAACUGAGGAUAAUACUCCAUAAAUCUAGGAUGCUGGAAUGUAUCUAGAUUGAAAGCUCCGGCGCCUAAGGAUGAGUCUGCGGACUAUCAGGUUGUAGUCAGGGUAAAGACCUGACUAGCCUACGACGGAUACGGGUUGUGAGAGCAAUAACCCGGAGACGAUAUCUGAGACACGAUAUCGGGCCCUACGGGGCGCAGCAGGCGCGAAAACUUCACACUGUGCGAAAGCGCGAUGAGGGAAUCCCAAGUGUUUGCUCGUAAGAGUAAACUGUUUCUUUGUUUAAAACGCAGAGAGAGUAAGGGCUGGGUAAGACGGGUGCCAGCCGCCGCGGUAAUACCUGCAGCUCGAGUGGUGAUCAUUAUUAUUGGGCCUAAAACGUCCGUAGCCGGUUUAGUAAAUGCCUGGGUAAAUCGUGUAGCUUAACUAUACGACUUCCGGGUAGACUGCUAAACUUGAGACCGGGAGAGGCUAGAGGUACUCCUGGGGUAGAGGUGAAAUUCUGUAAUCCUAGGGGGACCACCAGUGGCGAAGGCGUCUAGCUAGAACGGGUCUGACGGUGAGGGACGAAGCCCUGGGGCACAAACCGGAUUAGAUACCCGGGUAGUCCAGGGUGUAAACGCUGCUUGCUUGAUGUUAGUUGGGCUCCGAGCCCAACUAGUGUCGGAGAGAAGUUGUUAAGCAAGCUGCCUGGGAAGUACGGUCGCAAGGCUGAAACUUAAA
rnacentral:rRNA from 1 species